rnacentral:antisense_RNA from 1 species
AAAUAAGGAGAGUCAGCAAUUACCAGCCAGCCGAGGUCCUGGAAGCUGACGUAGAGCUCGUGCCGACGGCAGACCUGCCGGCCGUGGGAGCCGUGGACGUCAUCUGCAGGGACAGAAGGGGCAAGGUCUUUUCUGGGGUUCCUGCUGUGUGCAGCUACUAUGUGUGCAGCUACUAUGGGGUACCAGGGUGGGGGAUGCCCUGAUGAGCACAUUUGUCAAAUAAAUGAAUGACAGGAAACCA